rnacentral:rRNA from 1 species
AGUCGAACGGCAGCGCGGGGCAACCUGGCGGCGAGUGGCGAACGGGUGAGUAAUAUAUCGGAACGUACCCUGGAGUGGGGGAUAACGUAGCGAAAGUUACGCUAAUACCGCAUACAAUCUAAGGAUGAAAGUGGGGGAUUCGCAAGAACCUCAUGCUCCUGGAGCGGCCGAUAUCUGAUUAGCUAGUUGGUGGGGUAAAGGCUCACCAAGGCUUCGAUCAGUAGCUGGUCUGAGAGGACGACCAGCCACACUGGAACUGAGACACGGUCCAGACUCCUACGGGAGGCAGCAGUGGGGAAUUUUGGACAAUGGGCGCAAGCCUGAUCCAGCAAUGCCGCGUGAGUGAAGAAGGCCUUCGGGUUGUAAAGCUCUUUUGUCAGGGAAGAAACGGUGAAGGCUAAUAUCCUUUGCUAAUGACGGUACCUGAAGAAUAAGCACCGGCUAACUACGUGCCAGCAGCCGCGGUAAUACGUAGGGUGCAAGCGUUAAUCGGAAUUACUGGGCGUAAAGCGUGCGCAGGCGGGUUUGUAAGUUUGUCGUGAAAGCCCCGGGCUCAACCUGGGAAUUGCGAUGAAGACUGCAAGGCUUGAAUCUGGCAGAGGGGGGUAGAAUUCCACGUGUAGCAGUGAAAUGCGUAGAGAUGUGGAGGAACACCGAUGGCGAAGGCAGCCCCCUGGGUCAAGAUUGACGCUCAUGCACGAAAGCGUGGGGAGCAAACAGGAUUAGAUACCCUGGUAGUCCACGCCCUAAACGAUGUCUACUAGUUGUCGGGUUUUAAUUAACUUGGUAACGCAGCUAACGCGUGAAGUAGACCGCCUGGGGAGUACGGUCGCAAGAUUAAAACUCAAAGGAAUUGAC